AGAUUAAGUUAUUAAGGGCGCACGGUGGAUGCCUUGGCACUAGAAGCCGAUGAAGGACGUUACUAACGACGAUAUGCUUUGGGGAGCUGUAAGUAAGCUUUGAUCCAGAGAUUUCCGAAUGGGGAAACCCAGCAUGAGUUAUGUCAUGUUAUCGAUAUGUGAAUACAUAGCAUAUCAGAAGGCACACCCGGAGAACUGAAACAUCUUAGUACCCGGAGGAA
rnacentral:rRNA from 1 species